rfam:Oryza nivara chromosome 2, whole genome shotgun sequence.
UUUUCGUGUCCAACGUUUGAGUCCAACGGUUGACUGUUCGUCUUAUUUGAAAGAGUUAUGAAAAAAUUAAAAAGAUAAGUCACGUAUAAAGUAUUAAUAAUAUUUUAUCAUCUAACAACAAUGAAAAUACUAAUUAUAAAAAAAUUCAUAUAAAACGGAUAGUCAAACGUUAGCACAGGAACCACGUUUUGACUUUUU